AUGAAAUGCAGCUGGGCCAUCUUCCUGAUGGCAGUGGUUACAGGGGUCAAUUCAGAGGUUCAGCUGAAGCAGUCUGGGGCUGAGCUUGUGAGGCCAGGGGCCUCAGUCAAGUUGUCCUGCAAGACUUCUGGCUACACCUUUAUUAACUACUAUCUGCACUGGGUGAAGCAGACACCUGAACAGGGCCUGGAGUGGAUUGGAAGGAUUGAUCCUGAGGAUGGUAAUACUAAAUACGCCCCGAAGUUCCAGGGCAAGGCCACUAUGACUGCAGACACAUCCUCAAACACAGCCUACAUGCAGCUGAGCAGCCUGACAUCUGAGGACUCUGCGGUCUAUUACUGUAAUAUUAGCCAUUUUGGAGCAGGCAAGUUGUUUGAACUCUGUUUGGAAAUUUUUGUGGAUGAUAGACUGAUGAUAAGUAAUGUUGGGGAAAGGGGCAUUCCUGCUUUGGUUGCUGAAGCCCCUCUGGUCCCCACCAACAGUACCCAGUAUGAAAACAACCGUCACCAAGAUGUGGGGCAAGAACAGCUGGGGUGCCUCAACCGAUAUCCACGAGAAUUCAAUGUGACCUCUGAUUCCAAGAUAUCCAGUGUGAGGUGCAACUGGUGGGGUCUAGGAGAGUCUUAA